AGGGCCACAUCACGUUGAAACACUGGUUCCUGUACGAUCGCCGUAGUUAAGCAACGACGAGCCUGGACAGUAGCUAAAUGGGUGACCGUUUGAGAAUGCCAGGUGCU